rnacentral:rRNA from 1 species
UAAACGACUCUCGGCAACGGAUAUCUCGGCUCACGCAUCGAUGAAGAACGUAGCAAAAUGCGAUACUUGGUGUGAAUUGCAGAAUCCCGUGAACCAUCGAGUUUUUGAACGCAAGUUGCGCCCGAAGCCUUUCGGCUGAGGGCACGUCUGCCUGGGCGUCACGC